GCUGCUACUGAUGUGCGAUGGCACACUCAGUUUAGUUCCAUAUUUUACUUUUCAGUUCGAUAAGUUAUAAGAAGUAAAAUAACUCCUUGACUGUACAGAUUUGCAGCAGUGUAGUUUUCUCUGGUUGACCUUAUGCUUGCAGCUGAGUGUACUUAUUCUGAUGCUCUGGUUGACCUUAUGCUUGCAGCUGAGUUGGACUUCCUCCUACUCAAAUGCGCAACUUUCAAUUAUGUUUUGUUCGAAAGCUACUUGCUGUAAAGUAGUAUAUGUGCUAGGAUUUUAGUAUAGCUUCCAAAUAAAAUGUGAUUCAAGUUCUCAAAUUGUUUAGAAGAAGAUAGGAUAGGAAAUCUUGAAUGGAAAGCUCAUAUGAGUGUGAAUGGUUUGAGUAAAUCGGUAACUGGUGGAGAUCAUUCAUGUUGAUUACUUUUGAAAAGAAUGAUAGUCCACUAGAGAAUUUGUUGAUGAUUAGGUAGGAGUGAAAAAACAAAAGGUUUAGAAGUGAUGCUAAAAACUGAGAUGUCAAAUUUAACAUUCUCUUAUUUCUGUUAUAUUAUUUUGUUUUAGUUUUGGUGUCUGAAUUUGUGGAUAUAUGAGCAGGCCCCAAUAUUUAUUUCUUCAAUUCUCUUCUGCCGUCAGGUCGCAGCCUCUUCCUUCUGCAGGUCACCGCCUCCUGCUUCUACAGACCGUGCCCCAUCCCCCCAUUCCCGCAGCGAACAGGCCGUUCACCACCGUCACCAUAGUUCGUUCACUACCGACAGCCGAGGCCGUUCAACGAUGCAACGACGAGGUGUGGCCUUCCCCCUUCCUCUUGACAUGUAGCAUAUUCUACAAAAUAUGAGAUGCUCUCAACUGAAUAAAGAGUGUGACAUGCAAGUUCAGGUAUUACUGCUGCAGGAGUUCAAAAAUCUCAACAAUCCAAGCUCAAACCAAAUUUCAAGAAUUGUUUCCUUCAUAAAUUAGUUUUCUUUUGGUUAAUUUGUUGUUCUGGACAGUAUAGAUGUACAUUCUUGUGUAGUACUUGUGUGCAUUGUAUAUAUUCGUUUCAAGUUCAAAAGAAUAUAAUAAAAAAGUUUAUAAAAGAACCCAGAACAUCCGGUAAUUCUGGAAUCUGAGAGUUUGGAAAAAAAUGAUAUAAAAUGAACAUGGAGAGGGUUUUUAUUUCAUAGAAGUUGUAGAACAAAAAGGAAAGAAAAACCAUGUUCUCUAUUAUUGUUAUUUUGUUACCCUCAUGGUGUUUACUGAAAUGCCUACAACAACUAAAUGUGUUUUCUUUUCAUGUUUCUCUUUUGUUAAAAUGAAGCUAAGGUGUUGUACUACUCUAUUAUGUACAUCCGGGCAUGAUGCACAGAAUAAAAUAUUAUGAGAUCCUUGGUUUACUUACAGGGUAGGUCAUUAGUUCAAACCUAACAUAGAAACUCCUUGCUUGGCAUUCGAGCUCUUGUUUUCGCAAGACUAGUACUAGUAAAUGUUAUUUCACUGUAUAUUCUUUCCUCAGUCCAUAGUUGUUGUUACCUCUAUUUUCUAUCUGAAGUUCAGUUCUAGUGCGGUGAUAGUAAAUGUUGAACAUUCAAUUUAUUAUGUUGAAUAAUAU
rnacentral:lncRNA from 1 species